UAGGCUGUUGUGUGUUUUGUGCGCCAAGAUGGUACCUGGGACGAAACUUACUGGCUUACCUAAAAUGCAGGGGACUCGAGAAGCUUGUUGUGUUAGUAGGUCAGGGUUAGCUUUGAAAACCUUGCGGCUUGGAAGCGUGACCGGACUGGGGUGCCCCUUAGGUCACUGGAUGGCCGCGUGCAGCCCCGGGCCCUAAACCCCGGCGCGCCUGGGCCACGGCCCGGGGGAAGGUUCCGUGCACCUGAUGACUGCGGCGAAGGUCGUUAGUUCCGCCAUGGGUGUCAUGUGGCCAUCUUGAGUCUACUGUCACUGUUAAUUAGCGUCGGCACCCUGAGAACCGCCAGUUUGAUCCCGAUGGAAGCUGAGCUCGUUCUGAUUUGUGAUGGGAAGAUGACAAGGUAUCAAGUCCAGAGUGAUCGCGAGUGAAGUCUUAACGCAGUAUCCUGCAGUGGAUUACCAAAAUUUCUUAAUCGUACCUGGAGGAACAGGUGUUUCCAUGAAUGUUCUGGAAACUACCAGGGCACCAACAUUAAAUAUAGGCCUGAGUUUUUUAGAGGGGAUUCG